rnacentral:rRNA from 1 species
CAGCCGCCGCGGUAAUACGGAGGGUGCAAGCGUUAAUCGGAAUUACUGGGCGUAAAGCGCACGCAGGCGGUCUGACAAGUCAGAUGUGAAAUCCCCGGGCUUAACCUGGGAACUGCAUUUGAAACUGUCAGGCUGGAGUCUUGUAGAGGGGGGUGGAAUUUCAGGUGUAGCGGUGAAAUGCGUAGAGAUCUGGAGGAAUACCGGUGGCGAAGGCGGCCCCCUGGACAAAGACUGACGCUCAGGUGCGAAAGCGUGGGGAGCAAACAGGAUUAGAUACCCCUGUAGUCCCUGUCUCUUAUAC